GGGGCCGGCAGGGGGACCUGCUGCUGGAAGAGCAGCGGCCCGAGCCGGGGCCAUGGCGAAGCUGCUGAGCUGCGUCCUAGGCCCCCGGCUCUACAAAAUCUACCGGGAGAGGGACUCUGAAAGGGCCCCGGCCAGCGUCCCUGAGACGCCAACGGCAGUCACUGCCCCCCAUUCCAGCUCCUGGGUUACUUGAGUUUGUCCAAAGUGGUGCCGUUUUCUCACUAUGCUGGGACAUUGCUGCUACUUCUGGCAGGUGUGGCCUGCCUCCGAGGCAUUGGCCGCUGGACCAACCCCCAGUACCGGCAGUUCAUCACCAUCUUGGAAGCAACACAUCGGAACCAGUCUUCAGAAAACAAGAGGCAGCUUGCCAACUACAACUUUGACUUCCGGAGCUGGCCAGUCGACUUCCACUGGGAAGAACCCAGCAGCCGGAAGGAGUCUCGAGGGGGCCCUUCCCGCCGGGGUGUGGCCCUGCUUCGCCCAGAGCCCCUGCACCGGGGGACAGCAGACACCCUCCUCAACCGGGUUAAGAAGCUGCCUUGUCAGAUCACCAGCUACCUGGUGGCGCACACCCUAGGGCGCCGGAUGCUGUAUCCAGGCUCUGUGUACCUGCUGCAGAAGGCCCUCAUGCCUGUGCUGCUGCAGGGCCAGGCCCGACUGGUGGAAGAGUGUAAUGGGCGCCGGGCAAAGCUGCUGGCCUGUGAUGGCAAUGAGAUUGACACCAUGUUUGUGGACCGGCGGGGGACAGCUGAGCCCCAGGGACAGAAGCUGGUGAUCUGCUGUGAGGGGAAUGCUGGGUUUUAUGAGGUGGGCUGCGUCUCCACGCCCCUGGAAGCUGGAUAUUCAGUCCUGGGCUGGAAUCAUCCAGGCUUUGCUGGAAGCACGGGGGUGCCAUUCCCGCAGAAUGAGGCUAAUGCCAUGGAUGUGGUGGUCCAGUUUGCCAUCCACCGCCUGGGCUUCCAGCCCCAGGACAUCAUCAUCUACGCCUGGUCCAUCGGCGGCUUCACUGCCACGUGGGCAGCCAUGUCCUACCCAGAUGUUAGUGCCAUGAUCCUGGAUGCCUCCUUUGAUGACCUGGUGCCCUUGGCCUUGAAGGUCAUGCCAGACAGCUGGA
rnacentral:misc_RNA from 1 species